rnacentral:rRNA from 1 species
GACGAACGCUGGCGGCGUGCUUAACACAUGCAAGUCGAACGGAAAGGCCCUGCUUUUGUGGGGUGCUCGAGUGGCGAACGGGUGAGUAACACGUGAGUAACCUGCCCUUGACUUUGGGAUAACUUCAGGAAACUGGGGCUAAUACCGGAUAGGAGCUCCUGCUGCAUGGUGGGGGUUGGAAAGUUUCGGCGGUUGGGGAUGGACUCGUGGCUUAUCAGCUUGGUGGUGGGGUAGUGGCUUACCAAGGCUUUGACGGAUAGCCGGCCUGAGGGGGUGACCGGGCACAUUGGGACUGCGGUACGGCCCAGACUCCUACGGGAGGCAGUAGUGGGAAAUAUUGCACAAUGGGCGCACGCCUGAUGAAGCAACGCCGCGUGCGGGAUGACGGCCUUCGGGUUGUAAACCGCUUUCGCCUGUGACGAAGCGUGAGUGACGGUAAUGGGUAAAGAAGCACCGGCUAACUACGUG